rnacentral:rRNA from 1 species
GGGCUGCAGUGGGGAAUCUUGCACAAUGGGCGAAAGCCUGAUGCAGCGAUGCCGCGUGAGUGAAGAAGGCCCUUGGGUUGUAAAGCUCUUUUGUCGGGAAAGAUAAUGACUGUACCCGAAGAAUAAGGUCCGGCUAACUUCGUGCCAGCAGCCGCGGUAAUACGAAGGGACCUAGCGUAGUUCGGAAUUACUGGGCGUAAAGAGUAUGUAGGCGGCUAGAUAAGUUAAUUGUGAAAGCCCAAAGCUUAACUUUGGAAUUGCAAUUAAAACUAUUUAGCUAGAGUAUGAUAGAGGAAAGCGGAAUACAUAGUGUAGAGGUGAAAUUCGUAGAUAUUAUGUAGAACACCAGUUGCGAAGGCGGCUUUCUGGAUCAUUACUGACGCUGAGAUACGAAAGUAUGGGUAGCGAAGAGGAUUAGAUACCCCAGUAGUC